rnacentral:rRNA from 1 species
CCUACGGGAGGCAGCAGUGGGGAAUAUUGCACAAUGGGGGAAACCCUGAUGCAGCGACGCCGCGUGAGUGAAGAAGUAUCUCGGUACGUAACGCUCUAUCAGCAGGGAAGAAACUGACGGUACCUGACUAAGAAGCCCCGGCUAACUACGUGCCAGCAGCCGCGGUAAUACGUAGGGGGCAAGCGGUAUCCGGAUUUACUGGGUGUAAAGGGAGCGUAGACGGCAGCACAAGUCUGGAGUGAAAUCCCGGGGCUUAACCACGGAACUGCUUUGGAAACUGUGCGGCGGGAGGGCAGGAGGGGGAAGCGGAAUUCCGAGUGGAGCGGUGAAAUGAGUAGAUAUUAGGAGGAACACCGGUGGCGAAGGCGGCUUAAUGGACUGUAAAUGACGUUGAGGCGCGAAAGCGUGGGGAGCAAACAGGAUGAGAUACCCGUGUAGUC